rnacentral:rRNA from 1 species
GCUUCGGCGCACCCAGAAACCCUUUGUGAACUUAUACCUAUGUUGCCUCGGCGUUAGGCCGGCCUCUUCACUGAGGCCCCCUGGAGACAGGGAGCAGCCCGCCGGCGGCCAACUAAACUCUUGUUUCUAUAGUGAAUCUCUGAGUAAAAAACAUAAAUGAAUCAAAACUUUCAACAACGGAUCUCUUGGUUCUGGCAUCGAUGAAGAACGCAGCGAAAUGCGAUAAGUAAUGUGAAUUGCAGAAUUCAGUGAAUCAUCGAAUCUUUGAACGCACAUUGCGCCCCCUGGUAUUCCGGGGGGCAUGCCUGUUCGAGCGUCAUUUCAACCCUCAAGCCUGGCUUGGUGAUGGGGCACUACUUCCUCACGGGAGUAGGCCCUGAAAUUCAGUGGCGAGCUCGCCAGGACCCCGAGCGUAGUAGUUAUAUCUCGCUUUGGAAGGCCCUGGCGGUGCCCUGCCGUUAAACCCCCAACUUCUGAAAAUUUGACCUCGGAUCAGUAGGAAUACCCGCUGAACU